rnacentral:misc_RNA from 1 species
AAAGUCGUAACAAGGUUUCCGUAGGUGAACCUGCGGAAGGAUCAUUAAAAUAAUAAUGAAUGUCGGGGGGAGGGUGCUUCGGUGCUUUUCUCCCCGUGUAUUCAACCAAACCCGCUCGUGUAUUUGGAUCAACCAAAAAAAAACAAAUAAAAUUUUUAACGAUAAUAAUUAAACAAACUUUCAACAACGGAUCUCUUGGCUCUC